CUACUAAUGUUAAGCAAUGAAUGAAGAAAUGUCCCUCCUAUUCCCGGGAUUGGGGGGCAUCCUCUGUGCUGGCAGCUUCCCCGGCACGUCUGUUUUAUGAUCUAUCAUUUCCGUCUCCUGACUCUCCUUGUUAAAUGGAUAACAGGCUGAGAACGUCCAACAAGGAAGGAUCAGCUCCAGGUAUUGCCCCAGCAUUAAUUGAAAAGGGGGUUGCCACUUCCUUCAGACUGGAGACACCAGUGGACCUUGAUAGAAGACAGCUGAAUGAAGAUGCCAUGUUCUUGUUUGAGGAGGACGGUGAAAAUGUAAUAUGAGAAAAAUUGAGAUACAUUUCCACUUACAAACAACUUUCAGCAAAUGUCACCACAUCAGCACAGCCGAUUGAUGCAUUAAUGCCUGAAGAAAAGCCACUUACGUUCAAGUUAAUGUUAUUAAAAAUUUGUGAGUAAAGUAUGUAAGUUCAGACAUAUACUGUGUUAUUUAUUUUAUUUAAUUUUCCUUUUACAGCCCAUUGUGUACUACAAAAUGCAGAACAACAGGAAGGGCCGGCUGUCACCCUGA